rnacentral:rRNA from 1 species
CGCGAGAUCUGCCGUAGCCGGGUCUUUCCCGCUGUGGAACCCCAUGGCCUUCACUGGUCGUGGCGGGGAAACAGGACUUUUACUUUGAAAAAAUUAGAGUGCUCCAGGCAGGCCUAUGCUCGAAUACAUUAGCAUGGAAUAAUAAAAUAGGACGCGUGGUUCUAUUUUGUUGGUUUCUAGGACCGCCGUAAUGAUUAAUAGGGACAGUCGGGGGCAUCAGUAUUCAAUUGUCAGAGGUGAAAUUCUUGGAUCUAUUGAAGACUAACUACUGCGAAAGCAUUUGCCAAGGAUGUUUUCAUUGAUAAGGAACGAAAGUUAGGGGAUCGAAGACGAUCAGAUACCGUCGUAGUCUUAACUAUAAACUAUGCCGACUAGGGAUCGGACGAUGUUAUUUUUUGACUCGUUCGGCACCUUUCGAGAAAUCAAAGUGCUUGGGCUCCAGGGGGAGUAUGGUCGCAAGGCUGAAACUUAAAGAAAUUGACGGAAAGGGCACCACCAGGGGUAAACGCUAGUUGUUUCGAUAUAACAUCAGGAUCUGCUCCUAAAAGCCGCCCGAAAGGGUGAAGUGGUCGUCCCGGCUCAGCGCCAAAUUUAAAGGCUAGUCUCCCCUCUCCGGGGGGGAGGCGACACCCUCAAAUUGCGGGGAACUCCUAAAGCUUCUGCUCCAAAGCCAGCCGGCGAAAGCUGCUGGUGGCCAGGUUAAUAGCCUCGGGUACUGGAAAAACGCAGGAGAUGCAACAAUGGACAAUCCGCAGCCAAGCCCCUACGUGCUCGGCGCCUGGAAGACGGCGUUCCCGACCGGCAUCGCCCGGGAGGGAACGUGUACUGACGGGCAAAUCGCAGCAGCAUACGGGGAAGGUUCAGAGACUUGACGGGGGUGGGUAGGCGUCCAGAUCCCAAGCAGUGGGAUUCUUUCCAUCAUCAUGCCUGCUUAAGAUAAAGUCCGGCCUCAUACGAAAGUAUCAGGGUAAAAUGGGAACCUGCGGCUUAAUUUGACUCAACACGGGGAAACUCACCAGGUCCAGACACAGUGAGGAUUGACAGAUUGAUAGCUCUUUCUUGAUUCUGUGGG